AAAAUGAACUAAAUAAAUAUUGCAGAUUAUUACAUCACCACUUGGAUGGGGAGAGGUUUCCCUCGAGGAAACUGGGCAUCUGCACUGUAAGGGCAGGCAGAUGCAGUCACAGAGGGCCUUGUCACCCCCAUCGCCCAUGUCUCCUCCAUUUCUGCUGCCACGUGGUAGGCACCUUAGUGCUGUACCUGCUUUGAAUCUCAUCUCCCACCAUUCCUCUGAGCACCCUGCCAAGUUAAUCUUGAGAUAUUAGUUUUGUCUCUCCUGACACAGAAAUGUGGCCAGUGUUUCACCUUCAUCUGGCAGCCAAGGCCCCUUAUCAUUGGUCCAUAGUAACCAUCCCUGUGAGCUCUGUUCAUAUCUCCUUGCCUUCUCCUUGAUGGUGAUCUGAGUCCAGGAGCACCACCCAGCCCUUCUUUCUUCCCCACAUGGCCUAUGGGUGACACGUACCAUCACGUUGACUCCCUGCACCAUCCUUCUGCCACCUUUCUUCACAUCCCCUUUGCAGAUCCCCUUGACCACACCCUCAUUCUCAGCUGGUGCUCAUGAAGGACAGAAGAGUCAAUGUCAGUACAAUGUCCUUGUCAUGCCCAGCCUCAGAACUCGCCGUGAGGAGGCAGAGAUGGAGCUCUCAGUUCCAGGACCAUCCCCCUGGACCCCUGCAGCCCAGGCCCGUGUGAGAGAUGCUCCUGCUGUGACCCACCCUGGAUCUGCAGCCUGUGGUACCCCCUGCUGUAGUGAUACUGAGCUGGAAGCCAUCUGCCCUCACUAUCAGCAGCCAGGUACUUUAAGAACAGUUCUCCGCUGGUGCCCUUAUUCUGGGGAAGUGAUGUCCAUGGAACCCUGUGCUUACCCCUAGGAGGCAUCUG
rnacentral:lncRNA from 1 species